GCCAGGAGUCCGACUCCUCCUCUUCCUGUGUGGAACCUGGAAUUCAAACGGCUGGGUAGGAAGCACGCUAGCAGGGGCCUCUGGCCUUGCUGAGGGUCCCUGUUUCCCCUUUUCCUUCCUUUUCACCCAACAAAACCCUGCUUUACUCACCCUUCAAACCAUCUAUGAGCCUAAAUUGUCGUGGUCGUGGAAUGGACAAGGACCCAGUCUUUAGCUGAACUAAGGGAAAGUCCUGCUUUUUGGCGCGCAACAGGGGAGCUCAAGAAACAGGCCUCACUCACGGCAUAUGGAACUAACCACGCCCCUAACUAAGAAGGCACACCUUAGUUGCAGUUAGCACACAAUUAAAGCAACUCUCCAAGUUUUACCUUAAAGUUCAAAAUUGCUAGGAGUUGAAACUACUAGAAAUAUAUUUACAUGCAAGAGUCAAAGAAACUUUGAACUAUUUAUGGCCUUUAAUAAUUAAGUAAGGUAUACUCCUGUGAUCAAGACUUGGAGCAUAUUUGUUUCUCUCUGCCUGGUUCCUCUAGAAAUUGGAAACUAUCAGAACAGAGACCAACUCCGUUUCCCGAUCCCUUUGCAAUCUGCAUUGAACCAUGAGUCAAGUUCUUGAUAAAGGAGUGAAAAUGGAUGACAUUUAAGGCACAUCUGAAGAUGGGGAAACCACAGCACAGAAUAAGGCUGGGCCCUUGAAUCAAUAAAUGAAGGAGAACUACUCAAGAGAACAAAACCACCAGCAAUAUCCACCUGUAUUUGUCUUUUCAUAAUGUGUGACACAUGUGCUCAUGGAUUAUUGUCCGAAGCAAGACAUGUGACCAAGCCUAACAUCAACUGGGUGAAGAGCUAUAUGUUCCUUUCUCAAGAGGCACUACAAGUGACAUGCCACUGGGCAGCACUGUUCACAUUAUGUAAGUGAUAAAAUUGACCUAAAUAUCCAUCAAUGGACAAAUAGAUCAAGAAAACAUGAUAAACAUACACAGUGGAAUACUAUACAGCUACAAAAAGAAUGACCUUCUGUCAUUUGUGACAACGUGGAUAAACCUGCAGGACAUUCUGUUAAGUGAAAUCAACCAGGAUUUUUAUUUCAUUUGCAAUGAAUGAAGAAGCACAGCUCUGAAAGACUGAAUUCCCAGCACUGGGUGUCAGCUCUACCAAAUGCGGUACAGAUUGCAAUCUGACCACAGAAUCUCACCACAAAGAAUGCCGGGGUCUCCUCUGAUUAUAGCUACUGGCUAUAAGUUCUAACUAGGGUUUAAUGCAAAUUUUCCCUGUAGUCUGCUUGGGGAGUUGGCCUCAUUCUUGAAUUUUUCUCAGAAAGUUAUUGCCAAAAAUGUGAGUUCUCACCGCAGUGAAAGAGGAAAUCCAGCUAUGAGCAUAUAUAAUACAGGAGAAAGAAUGCAGAGAAAACACAUUCUUUUCUUGCUACUCAGUUGCCAGAGAAGUAUAUCUAUAAUAUUUUCAGUUGUGAUGCUAUGUCCCAUUGAAUUCAACCACACAUUGGAAAAAUCAGUUUACCCUAGAAUCUAGUUAUUGUUGUGGUACAGUUUAAUUUUUGUCAAAUAAUUCUUUCUAAAAUUUCUAAUGUAAGUCUUUAAUUUUCAAGAUAUUUUGCUUAGAAGAUGAUAUGGUUUGGCUGUGUCCCCACCCAAAUCUCACCUUGAAUUCCCAGGUGUUGUAGGGGGCAGGUCUUUCCUGUGCUGUUCUUGUGAAAGUGAGUAAGUCUCAUGAGAUCUGAAGGCUUUGAAAAACAGGAAUCUCCCUGUACAAGCUCUCUCUUUGCCUGCUGCCAUCCAUGUAAGACGUGACUUGCUCCUUCUUGUCUUCUGCCAUAAUUGUGAGUCUUCCCCAGCCAUGUGGAACUGUAAGUCCAGUUCAACCUCUUUCUUUUGUAAAUUGCCCAGUCUUGGAUAUGUCUUUAUCAGCAGUGUGAAAACAGAGUAAUACAGAAGUAAUUUCUAUGACAUUAUAUAAGAACUAAAGUUUUAUUUUUCCAAAAAUGUUGAAUGUUGAUGCUGUAUUCUGGUGAUGUUUGUUUUACCAGAAAAAUACAUCAUAUUCAGGAUAUGAACUAAACAAAAAUUAGUUGCUACUGCUCAACUGACUUAAAUAUGAGAUGUUGUCUAAUUAUCUCUGAUUGCUUCCUUUGGUUUCUAGUGAUUAAUUAUGCCUAAUUAUUCCUUGAUUUUUGGAAAAUCACAUUUAAGUUUCCUCUGCAAAGAAAAGAAUAGGUAAAUCAAGUCCUCUAGAAAAAAAGCAUAAAAAUAUAGUUUUGAAAUUCUAAAACUCAUAAAGGGAAAUAAAAAUCCCAUUCGUUUUUAUUUUAAUAUUUUGCUAGAAAGUACAAUGGAAGGAAAGAAGUCUUUUUUCUAAGACAGCAGUAUUUUAGUCAAUUGUGUAUCAACAGACUUCUGUAUAACUGGGAGCCACAUCUUGGAAAUGCUCUUUCCAAUGGCAGUGACAUCUGAGGAGAGUCCACUCUGAUAUGGACACUAUACUAGGAGGAGACAAGAGUACAGUAGGAAAAAAUUAGUCUGUGCGGUGAAGGAGUCCUACAUUGUCCCUCAGUAGAUUUCUAUAAAAUUUCACUUAAUUAGUAGCAAGUAACAGAGUUGGAAUGAGGACCUAGAUCUUUCAUUUUAAUCUAAUACUCUUUCUUCCACUAUUUUAGUUAGAGUCAUAUGGGCAAGCCCACAAUUAGUACAUGAGGACAUUUUUAAUGGGUAAGAUUACAGAGAACCAUUAAUUCUAGCCAUUAAAUUAAUCAAUUCAGCAAAGCUCUGAUUCCCCCUUCCCUUAAUUGUUAAAUAAGUAGUUCUCCAUUCAGUUGUUAAAGGAUUAUUUCUUGAUAACAAGGAAAUAAUAAACUUCUUAAGACACCCUGGUAUGAAUAGCUGAAAUUGAUUGAUAGUAAUCUCAGUAAAUCGUUUCAUUCUAAUUUUUGGUAUAUCUAUACUGCUUUGAAUAACUCUUCUACCUACAGCCCAUUAAUAAAUAUUUGCCUAGUCAAAUUUUAGUUUGUGCUAUACUCCUAGAAGGACAUGGGGUGUAUGGAAGCGAAACUAACUGGAUAUUUAAGGCAUUCAAUAAUGUCUUUUUGCUUCCGAUUCUAGCUGUAUAACAUAGGUAAAUCUCUUAAAUUCUCAGAACUUCAAUUCAUUUAUAUGUAAAGUGAGGAGUUGUACCAUAUUGGUAGUUAUUAACAUGUACUGUACUUAUGAAUCAGUCUGAAAAUCUUGCUAAACUGCAUAUUCUGAGCUUUUCUUAAUUUUUUUUUGUUUUCUCGGAAACGCUGAUUCUCUAGGUCUUGGUUGGAGUCCAGGUAUCUGCAAAUUAAAUAAGCACUUGAAGUGAUAGUAUCUGAGUGUCCGUAGGCAAAUGUUAGGAGAACUGAAUCAGAUGUUCUUUGAAAGAUUUUCAUGGUUCUAAAAUGUUCUGAUUUAAAAUCCACAAAGAAAAAAAGCAUUGAAAAUGAAUCAGCAAACUAGAUGUAAUUAAAGCUUCUUGCAAUUCCAUUAAUAAACUUUUUAGAAUGAAUUACACUUUAUGUCUUCAUUUUUUCUUUUACAUUGGCAUGAAAGCAGUGAACCCUGAAAUGUUUCAGUCCUUGAGUUCCCAAAGUUAUGUAAAAGCUUGAUAAUCUUAAUUAACCCACAUUAUCUCUUAUCAUAUAAUAAUAGUGCUUUCUAGAAGUUGACUAUCAGAUGGUGAAGUUAGGUUUAUAUCAGCUGGUCAUUACUUCAAGUUUUUAAGCUAUAGAAGUCUGAACUACCACCAAAAAGAGCAACUAUCAUUUUUUGCUCACAUAAAGAAGUAAAAAUCUUCAAAAUAUUCUCAGGUGUUCUAUAAAUAUUUUUCUCUCAUGUUCUAGGAAACCACCUAAAGUAUAUUCCAAUUGAUAAGCUAAAAUCACUUGGAGUUUGCUAAUUUUGAAGAUGAAAAAGCUCCAGGAGCUUUCACACAGCUCCUUAGUGGUUUCAGUGUGGCCUGACUAGUGGCUGGACUGUGCCACAACAACUUAUUUUAAAGGUUAUUGUGAUACUAUUGGUAAAUAAAUGAUUGGAAAACAUAGAUACCUAUCUGCAUGUAAAAUAAUAGCCUUCCACCACUUUCUCUUUUUCACUUUUCACAUUCCGAUCUUAUCCCUGUUUUACUACUUAUCACGUUGUAAAAUAAGUUUAUAUUAGAUUUUACCUGAAGAUAGUAAAGAUAGUAAGGAUGCUAAGGGUUUUCUUAGGAUACUUAGAAAAUAUAGUAAUUCUGUUAUCUCUCUAAUUAUAAUAAGAUUAUUGACUAAUAAUCUGGAAGUAUGGCCUCAGUACACUCACCUGAGCAAUGAGAGACUGGGUAGGCCUGAUAUUCUUUAUUAUAGAAACACAUUGUUUAGAAUAAACAGUUACGUAAUCAAACUGCUGUGUUAAUUUCUUGGUUUCGUCACUUGAUUGCUUUGUAUACUGGGCAAGUUAUUUCAGUCAUCUUUGAUUCAAUUUCUUCAUCAACAUAAAAACCAUGAUCACUAUUGUACAUACUUCAUGAACUUCUGCAGAUAUUAAAUUACUUAGUAUACAUAAUUAUACCAGUUAUGUCAUUUUUUAAAUUGUUGCUAAUACUGUUAAUCCAUUCAAAUAUUAAAUGAAAGCAUAGUUUGUAGUUCUGUAAGUUUCAAUACUUCACUAUAUAAUUUGAGUACAAUGCAUUAUUCGUAAGCUGAAUAUAGGGUUUUGGAUAUCUUCUGAAGGGUAGGUUACAAUAAAAUUGCUAAUUAUAGAGGGUUGCUAAAGGUAUUUGUACCCUGUGAAGUAUUCUAUUAUCAGUUCUAUUCUGGUUAUUCAAUGUCAGCCACAAUGCCUCUAAAAAAUUUGAAGUCAGCCUUUAUUUUAAAAGUGCCUUAAACAUUUCACUGAAAUAAUUAAAUGUAUUGGUUUAAUGGAACUCUCAUGAUACAGUAGAAGAAAUGGGCUGUUAAGAAUAUUGAAAGAAUUAAGAAGCAGUGAAUUUAAAGCGCCCUCUUCAACUUUUCUUAGAUGUUAUAAAUGUAACCAUUCCUACUAAAGUACACCAUACUCGAAAGAUCUUUUCUCUUUUUUUAUGAUUUAGAAAUGGUAGUUACAAUAUGUUGAAAGUAUAAGCCUUGGUUUUUUAUAUAUGAAAGCACUAUCAAAUCAUAAUGAAGGCAAUUUUUCCUAUAGUCUUAAUUUAGCUAUUUAAUAUAAAAUCAAAAAAAUGGCAUACAUAACUAUCUAGAAGUGUCAAUAAAUCAUUAGAGCGGACAUUCAGUGUUUCCAGUAAAUAAUUAUUAAGUAUAGAUUAGGUUGCUUUGGGAGAGUAUAACAUCUUAGAACUUUACUUCAUGAUAAUAAUCACCACUUAUUAAAUAUAUACUGUAUGUGACACUACAUACUAAACCCCUUUCAUUUAAUCUUACUUAAUAUCUCAAUAACCAGUGCUGAAUUGUCUUACAAAGUUGGUAUCAGCACCACCCCCUCUGAAUUCUCCCUGAUUCAAGGAAAAAUAGGAACUGAGUUCUAGUGAAUUCACUUCCACUUAUGGUUUUGACAUAGAGAGAAAUGAGAAAUUCUGUCUGAUACAUAAAAUGCAG
rnacentral:lncRNA from 10 species